GACGAACGCUGGCGGCGUGCUUAACACAUGCAAGUCGAACGGAAAGGCCCUGCUUUUGUGGGGUGCUCGAGUGGCGAACGGGUGAGUAACACGUGAGUAACCUGCCCUUGACUUUGGGAUAACUUCAGGAAACUGGGGCUAAUACCGGAUAGGAGCUCCUGCUGCAUGGUGGGGGUUGGAAAGUUUCGGCGGUUGGGGAUGGACUCGCGGCUUAUCAGCUUGUUGGUGGGGUAGUGGCUUACCAAGGCUUUGACGGGUAGCCGGCCUGAGAGGGUGACCGGCCACAUUGGGACUGAGAUACGGCCCAGACUCCUACGGGAGGCAGCAGUGGGGAAUAUUGCACAAUGGGCGGAAGCCUGAUGCAGCAACGCCGCGUGCGGGAUAACGGCCUUCGGGUUGUAAACCGCUUUCGCCUGUGACGAAGCGUGAGUGACGGUAAUGGGUAAAGAAACACCGGCUAACUACGUG
rnacentral:rRNA from 1 species